UAAGGUAGCUGUUUUAGGAUCAAU
rnacentral:piRNA from 1 species